UCGCCUGUUUAUCAAAAACAUCGCCGCGAACUAUUCCCGGUAAAGUCUGCCCAGUGACCCGUUCAACGGCCGCAGUAUCCUAACUGUGCUAAGGUAGCGUAAUCAUUAGUUUUUUAAUUGAAAUCCAGUAUGAAAGACCCGACGAGAAAAUAACUGUCUCUCAGAUCCGCUCAACUUACUUUUGGAGUAAAAAAGCUCCAGAUCCUCGAUAGGACGACAAGACCCUAUAAAACUUCACCCGGAGAACGACCUCUUUCCAAGAGAUUUACUUUCCCCUUCGACGGGUUUAACUGGGGCGGUAACCUUUAAUCCAAACAAAAUCAAACCCAACACCUUGAGUGAAAAUAUUGACCUCUCAGAAAUAAAAUAAAGUUACUUUAGGGAUAACAGCGCAAUAUUUCUUUAGAGCCCGUAUCGCCAGAAAUGAUUACGACCUCGAUGUUGAAUUGAAGACCCUGCGUAGAGCAGUCCCUACGAAAGGAAGUCUGUUCGACUUUUUAACCUUYACAUGAUYUGAGUYCAAACCGGA
rnacentral:rRNA from 1 species